rnacentral:rRNA from 1 species
GUCUAUAGCCGUGCCAUCCUGAACGAGCCCGAUCCCGUCUGAUCUUGGAAGCUAAGCAGGGUCGGGCCUGGUUAGUACUUGGAUGGGAGACCACCUAGGAAGACCAGGUGCUGUAGGUG